rnacentral:rRNA from 1 species
GACGAACGCUGGCGGCGUGCUUAACACAUGCAAGUCGAACGAAGUGGCGAACGGGUGAGUAACGCGUAAUCAACCUGCCCUUAGGAGGGGGACACCAGUUGGAAACGACUGCAAAUACCGCAUACUGAUGGAGGGGAUGGUGUGUGAUUGGCUAGCUGGAGGGGUAAUGGCCCACCAAGGCGAGGAUCAGUAGCCGGUCUGAGAGGAUGAACGGCCACAUUGGGACUGAGACACGGGCCAGACUACUACGGGAGGGAGCAGUGGGGAAUCUUCCGAAAUGGACGAAAGUCUGACGGAGCCAAGCCGCGGUAGUGAUGAAGGCCUUCGGGUUGGAAAGCUCUGUUAAGCGGGACGCGGUACCGGAAUAGAAAGCAACGGCUAACUACGUGCCAGCAGCCGCGGUAAUAC